rnacentral:tRNA from 1 species
GCCCUCAUAGCUCAGUUGGCAGAGCGCGUUCUUGGUAAGAACGAGGUCACCAGUUCAAGUCUGGUUGAGGGCUCCA